CUGGCGGCGCGCCUAACACAUGCAAGUCGAUUGAGAGAUGAAGAGCUUGCUCUUCAAAUCGAGUGGCGAACGGGUGAGUAACGCGUGAGGAACCUGCCUCAAAGAGGGGGACAACAGUUGGAAACGACUGCUAAUACCGCAUAAGCCCACGGCUCGGCAUCGAGCAGAGGGAAAAGGAGUGAUCCGCUUUGAGAUGGCCUCGCGUCCGAUUAGCUAGUUGGUGAGGUAAUGGCCCACCAAGGCGACGAUCGGUAGCCGGACUGAGAGGUUGAACGGCCACAUUGGGACUGAGACACGGCCCAGACUCCUACGGGAGGCAGCAGUGGGGAAUAUUGCACAAUGGGGGAAACCCUGAUGCAGCGACGCCGCGUGGAGGAAGAAGGUCUUCGGAUUGUAAACUCCUGUUGUUGAGGAAGAUAAUGACGGUACUCAACAAGGAAGUGACGGCUAACUACGUGCCAGCAGCCGCGGUAAAACGUAGGUCACAAGCGUUGUCCGGAAUUACUGGGUGUAAAGGGAGCGCAGGCGGGAGAACAAGUUGGAAGUGAAAUCCAUGGGCUCAACCCAUGAACUGCUUUCAAAACUGUUUUUCUUGAGUAGUGCAGAGGUAGGCGGAAUUCCCGGUGUAGCGGUGGAAUGCGUAGAUAUCGGGAGGAACACCAGUGGCGAAGGCGGCCUACUGGGCACCAACUGACGCUGAGGCUCGAAAGUGUGGGUAGCAAACAGGAUUAGAUACCCUGGUAGUCCACACCGUAAACGAUGAUUACUAGGUGUUGGAGGAUUGACCCCUUCAGUGCCGCAGUUAACACAAUAAGUAAUCCACCUGGGGAGUACGGCCGCAAGGUUUGAAACUCAAAGGAAUUGACGGGGGCCCGCACAAGCAGUGGAGUAUGUGGUUUAAUUUGACGCAACGCGAAGAACCUUACCAAGUCUUGACAUCCCUUGACGAACAUAGAAAUAUGUUUUCUCUUCGGAGCAAGGAGACAGGUGGUGCAUGGUUGUCGUCAGCUCGUGUCGUGAGAUGUUGGGUUAAGUCCCGCAACGAGCGCAACCCUUAUGGUCAGUUACUACGCAAGAGGACUCUGGCCAGACUGCCGUUGACAAAACGGAGGAAGGUGGGGAUGACGUCAAAUCAUCAUGCCCUUUAUGACUUGGGCUACACACGUACUACAAUGGCGUUAAACAAAGAGAAGCAAGACCGCGAGGUGGAGCAAAACUCAGAAACAACGUCCCAGUUCGGACUGCAGGCUGCAACUCGCCUGCACGAAGUCGGAAUUGCUAGUAAUCGUGGAUCAGCAUGCCACGGUGAAUACGUUCCCGGGCCUUGUACACACCGCCCGUCACACCAUGAGAGCCGGGGGGACCCGA
rnacentral:rRNA from 1 species